GUGCCAGCCGCCGCGGUAAUACCGGCAGCCCGAGUGAUGACCGAUCUUAUUGGGCCUAAAGCGUCCGUAGCUGGCUGCGCAAGUCCGUCGGGAAAUCCACUCGCCCAACUGACGGGCGUCCGGUGGAAACUGUGUGGCUUGGGACCGGAAGACCCGAAGGGUACGUCUUGGGUAGGAGUGAAAUCCUGUAAUCCUGGACGGACCGCCGAUGGCGAAAGCACUUCGGGAAGACGGAUCCGACGGUGAGGAACGAAAGCCAGGGUCUCGAACCGGAUUAGAAACCCCUGUAGUCC
rnacentral:rRNA from 1 species